CAGAGUAGGCAGAUGCGCGUAUAGUGCUUGGCGGACGGGGAGUUGUCGCCUUGACGAAAAACAUUUUUAUGUUUGCGGUGCAUCUGUCGCAUCCCGCUG
rnacentral:ncRNA from 1 species